ensembl:processed_transcript
AGUGUUUCCUGCUGUUCUAGUGAUGCCUGGGACCAUUCGAUCUUCCUGGAGGUAUUCUAUCUUCCCACGGGGAGUCCUGUUUUCCUGAUGACAUCCUGUCCUUCCGAGGGCGCCCUGUCUUCCCUGGCGUCGGUUGCUUAGGGCAAGAUUCUGGAGCGAACACUGAAGUUCGCGGCUCGGGAGCAGGCGCUUGGGGGAAUAGGACCCGGACACCCAAAGCAAUGAGGAACCCCGAGAAAGUUGGACGAACGCAUGCACCGAGGGAACAGGCGACAGUCGCCAAGGCACGGGCGACUUGGGGCAAAGUCACUCACGCUGCCGUUGUUCCAGAUGGCGCAGGUUACUGGAAGAGCGUGUACCAGAUGCCACUCUGCAAGAGAAAGAAAGAAGGAAGCUGAACCAAGUCAAAGAAGACUGUUAUUUGGAGCAUGUGUGAGGCUUGGCUAGCCCAGAGGCUGAUGUCACCAGUAUUCAGAGGUUCAGGAUGAUGCCACCUAUUGGACAUAAGAAACCCAGGAAGAUGUAGCUACCCUGUUUUAUUCUGUACACUUGCUGGGUAGAGACCUAAAAGAAUGUGUUUCUCAUGGGAACUGAAGGAAACAUUUAUCCAGUGUGAAGAGUCAGUCAUGUGACAAUCACAUGGCAAGCUUAAAGCCUUUCACCUCUCAUGUUCUCCUGUCCACACCCACACCGCUCAUGACUUCCCAUGUAUCUCAUUCUUCUGCUAGUCAAGAGAACCCUGGUUCUACAGCCUGAGGCUAUUUAAGCUUGUCUUUGUUGUUCAAUGGACAUACCUGACAUUGUAACUUGUCUCAGUUUCCCAGUUUUGUUCCUCAAUCUCCUUUAUUCUUGCCCAAAGCCCAUCUAGUGAUUUGAAUGAUGGCUUGUGAUUUCCUGUCCUCCAUAAAGAAACCAGAGAUUAGUGUCAGGGUUAAUUUGGCUACUGUUUCAUUUCUUUUCCCACCUGUCCUGUGAGUUUCUCCCUAUGAAGAUAGCUUGUUUUUUUUUUUUUUUUUUUUUUUUUUUUUUCUGUUGUUGUUGUUGUUUGUUUGUUUGUUUGUUUGUUUUCUCUAGCAGUGUCAGCUAGGAUCAAGAAAGAAAAAGUGUAAAGACAUGGCCUGCCAACUUCUGAAAGUUACUGAGAUUGGAAACACCAAAGCCUCCCAUGAAGGAGUUGGAUUUGACUCCUGUCCGGGGUCUCAUAUGUGUUUGUCUGAAGUCCUUGUGAUUCACUGAGGUGGAUGAUGAUACUGCCUGCUGUCUUGAAGAUAGGAAGUAUUUGUAGCCUUCUUUAGGAGGCAGACAAGAACCAGACUACUCCUUACCUGCACACUCCCUGAAUUAUGUUUUACCUAUGUUGAUUUAUAGCUAGUUAUUGAUAUUUUAUAUUAGAAGCUGAAAAAGUAUUUCAGUGCCUUAGCUAAAAUUUAUAGUGAACCAGAUGCCUUCCAUGGCAGCUUGUUCUGUGGUCAUAUGUAGCACUGGAAAGCUGGUCCCAUAGCAAGUGACUCUACAAUCCACGUGGACCUCAGUAUGGAGAAUGUAGGUCUGUUAAUUGGAAAAAAAAUGACCACAUCCCCUCGCUCAUCUUGACACCCCAAGUUUCAACUUCAAGGCAAAAAAGAAAAGCAAUGUGUACCUCUUUUGUAUCCAGCUAUUCCAUCCCAGUUUUUAGGUCAAG